CACCAAUCAAGCCUGGCUUGGUGUUGGGCCCCGGGGAGACCCGGGCCCCAAAGUUCGCCGGCCGGACGUCCCGGAUCUCAGCGUUGUGGCAUCAAAACCCGCGGAGAGAUGGGGCGGCCGUGCCGUCACAAAACCCACUUUCAUGAAA
rnacentral:misc_RNA from 1 species